GGGGCGGAGCCGCGGCGCGGAGACACAGGGCCUGGCGAAGAGGCGGGAGGAAAGAACGCCGCGACGUACGGGUCCGGCCCCCCGCGCCGCGCUCCCCUCCCCCGCUUUCCCCUUCUCCAGCCCGACCCGGGACAUUUGCGCGCUACGGCCCUAGGGGCGGGGCCUCGCCAGGCUGCGCGCAGGCUCCCGGGCGGGUGCGUCACGUGGUGGCAGAGCGGCUUCCCUCAUCCGCCGGGUGGCGCCGAAGAGAGGGGUCUCCGCAGCCCCCCAAAAGCGCAGGCCUGUUAGUAGCUUGGCUUCACAUCGUUGCCCAGAUGUAUACCCACCCUGGGUUCUGCACUCAGGGACACUUCUGAGGCGUUCUUCUCGUGAGGAAAGCUAGGUGGCACCUCGUCUUGUUUCCCAGACGGGGAGCUGCCUUUCGGACUCUUCUCCCGCGUGUUUGCAAAGCCCGAAGCUGCCCGGUCCACUCACAGGCCUUUUCCUGGUUCUUAGUCCCAGCAGGUUGUGUGCACUUGGGCAAGUCACUUUACCUCUCUGGACCUACUUCUGUUAUGGAAUUAUAGAAUUCAAAAAAGACUGCGAGAUCCCGCUGUGGUGCCGCGGGUUAAAAUUCAGACUGCAAAAAGGAAAAAAGAAAGAAAAAAAAAAGGACUGCAGCCUCGCAGGCAAAGGUUCGGUCCUGGCCCAGGAACUUCCAAAUGCUGCUGGUGUGAACCACUAAAAAAAAAAAAAAAAAAAAAAAAAAAAGGCAAAUGGAACUUUGUGUCAGUGGUGAUGUUAAAGCAAGGCCGGGAGUUCCCGUCAUGGCUCAGCCAAAGGGAAUCUGAACAGGAUCCAUGAGGACCCAGAUGCCCUCUCUGGCCUCGCUCAGUAACGCAAGUGUACCGCUGACUGCUCUACUCCCUCCUGCAGAGCCCAGACAUGGACCACAACAAGCCUGAAAUCAGAAUUCCCAUCACGGCUCAGGGGAAACCAAUCUGACUAGCAUCCGUGAAGACUCAGGCAGGUCACUCUCCACGAACAUGAUUUCAUAACCCACAAAUGGGAUGAAAGAGUCUGAAAAGGCUGCUGCUUUCAUACACAAAACCUGCUCACUCUUUGCCACCAGUGACCCAGAGCCUCUUCUAAAUGCCUAAUCUACCCGUGUUUCCCCUAGAUCUGCAGGGGCUCCAUCGAAUGCCUAUAAUACCUUUGAUUAGGCAAUGGGCUUCAAGGCUCCCCUCCCACCAUCCCAGCCCUUAGGGCCAUCCCAUUCUUCCUGUCCUUUCCCAAAGCGUUUCUCAAGAUGAACUCAAGGAGCACCCACUAGGAAGUGGAAGAGAAAGAGAAAGCAAAAAGAGCAAGAGUUUCAGUAAACAAGGGAGUGGCAUGGACACACCAAGAGAUCAUUCACCCACUACUCCUUUGGAGAAGACUCUCACAGCUUAAAGAUUGGAAGAGAGAUGCUGGCGACGCAGCAUCCCCUACAACGCAGAGCUGUCCCAGGAUGAACCACCUUGGAGGGACGGUGGUUGCACCUUGGGAUCCCUUCUGGUGCCCUUAGUUCUCCCGGAAAGCAAAGCAGAAGGCGACCAGAAGGACUCAUCCACAUCUUGCUACUCACAAGUGAGAAGGAAUUUACUAUCUGUCUCAAGAGCACUGAUUAUGAGCCAACUGCUGUCCUGUUUCACUUCCACUUAAGCCUCACAGAUAGCUAUUGUGGAGCCCAUGUUACUGAAGAGGAAAGAAGCACGGGUUAUGUCACUUGCCCAGCAAGGUCACACAGCUGGAGGGAAGCAGGUUUUAAGCCCUGGGCUGUCUAGCUUUAUCACCCCACUACACCUGGCAUCAGCUGGGCAGGGGAUCUUUGCAUCUCAUUCGGAACUGAAACCCAGGAAGUUAAACUUGUCACCUCAACCACCAGGCCCACAGGAGUUCGGCAAUGAGGACUCCUCAACCAGUGCUCCUUCCACAAGUAUGGGGGACCCCUGACAAGUCAGCAAAAAAAAAUUCCUGGGCUCUGAGCCCCUCCCCUCUACGCCGGGCCAGCCGCCUGUCAUUUCCUGGGGCAGUGCUUUCCUGCCUUCCACCAAUCCAAACCCAACCCCCAGCGAAGGCCCCAGCACAUCCUCAAUCUCUCAGGGAAGCCCAAUCAGUGGAACAAUCUUUGUGCCCAACUCCAAGCGGUGUGUCUGCACAACACCACCCUUACCGCCAAGUUAAGGGUUAAGGGGGGACUGACUGGCAGACAUGAAACCGACAGUUACGAUGUAUUGAUGAAAGGUCCCCCUGGGGUAACUCUGGGGGCUGCAGAGGCAGAAGGGGGUUCCUAAUGCCCCACAGCUGUGGCUCCAAGGGGCAUGCCUGCCAGAAGUGAUUUUUCACGGGAAGCUGCAGAAUGAGAAGUCACGCACAGGUAGGGAUUGAGGACUGAUCCAGGCAGAGGACACAAGGGUGUCCAGCCCCCACCACCACCACCCAGGUGAGAGAACGGAGCCCCAGGAGGUGGAGAGAGCUUCAAGUUGCUGGAGGGAGCUUGAACCUGGAGAGGGCUGCAGGCGGGCAGUGCCCUGGGAGUCUCUUCGUCCAUACCUCGAGGGUAAUGGGAAGGCUAGGAAGGGUUUGCAAGCAGUGUCACGUGGUUGGCUUUGCUCAGGCUGGAUGGGAGGAGGAGGAAGCCGGAAGGAAGAUGAGGAGGAGGUGACAGUAACCGGGCCAGGGUUGUGGGCAGGCGGCAACAGCAGGAAAGAGAGGUGAACGGACGUGAAACAUGUUGAGGAGGUAGAACCACCAGGACUCGGGGACCUGACGGGUGGCGGAGGAGAGGAAAGAGGCCACGAGUCUUUGCCCCAGCCUCAGGCUGGCUCCUGUGCCAUUAGCCAAGACAAAAGGGAUGCGUUUGGGGGGCUGGGAGGCAGGCUCAGCGGAGGUGUGGGGCUGGGGCCAGGGACGCGCUCACACGUGCUCUGCGUCUCCCAGUCUCACCCCUUCCCGUUCUUUCUCCACAGAUACCUUAAUCCACACACCCCCGUGCUCAAAACCCUUCAGGGGAGUUUGCGGUCACAUCUCAAAGGCUUGGGGCAAACAAACCAAGCUCCUUAAAAGGCAACCUUUGUAAACCCCUUCAACCUCCAAUAAAACGUAGUGUUGGGACAUAC